UACGGGGGGGGCAAGCGUUGUUCGGAAUUACUGGGCGUAAAGGGCUCGUAGGCGGCCAACUAAGUCGGAUGUGAAAUCCCCAGGCUUAACCUGGGAACUGCAUCCGAUACUGGAUGGCUUGAAUCCGGGAGAGGGAUGCAGAAUUCCAGGUGUAGCGGUGAAAUGCGUAAAUAUCUGGAGGAAUACCGGUGGCGAAGGCGGCAUCCUGGACCGGCAUUGACGCUGAUGAGCGAAAGCUAGGGGAGCAAACGGG
rnacentral:rRNA from 1 species